rnacentral:tRNA from 1 species
CAGGGAGACACAACUGAUCGUGAUGUCUGAGCGCUGACCAAGCGUAAGUUUGGGACGCACCUUUGUCUCAGGCCACGGUCCUGUCAUCUCGAAGGUCGAUCGGUACCUCAAGGUGAGCCAUCAAAGCCAAGGACGACUCCAGAGAGCUCGCAAGAGCAGGAAGGAGGAAGCCGAGGAUGUUGUGAUGGACUCGUUUUCAGUUCCUAAACUUUGUCUAGGUCACCCCACCAAGGGUUUUGCCAGACAGCCAGCGUUUCAGAUCCCGUCAGGGAGAGGAAGUGAUGGGUGGCUGGAGGAACCACUGUCAGAGUGAUUGUUCCUGGGCCAUUAGCUCAGGUGGUUAGAGCGCACCCCUGAUAAGGGUGAGGUCCCUGGUUCAAGUCCAGGAUGGCCCAUUCGUGUUUGGGGGUUUAGCUCAGUUGGUAGAGCGCCUGCUUUGCAAGCAGGAUGUCAGCGGUUCGAGUCCGCUAACCUCCAUCCAACCAGGUUAAGACCACAACAUGAAGCUGCAUCAGGAGGAAUUCUGAUGGGUGACGUGACCGGACAUGUUCAGCUGAGGACUCCAGCCUCCUUUCAUUCCCAAUGGAUGAGCGCACACGUUGUGUGAUGCCUGUUCAGAUGUGGUUGAAAGGAAGCUGGACUCGCUGAUCGCCAGUUUCCAUGUUCAUGGGAGUUGGUGGAUCGGUGCAGCCAGCAAAGAACCUUGACAACUGCAUAGGUGAGUCUGGAAAAGAAAGCAUCUCAUGGAUGCCCAGACGGACGUGGACGGAUCCUGGUAACCCCAGGAGAAGGAAACGGCUGACUGGGAGAUUCUUGAGUUUAGAGCCGAGAGCUUCCAGCGUCUUUUCGCUCCGCCGAGGAGGGAAGAGUCAGAUUCUGCCUUUCAAACCGCUUGAGUUGGAAUGGAACAGGAGACCGCAACGGGCAACCGGAGCGGUGGAUCGUUGCAUGAGAACGAAAGAAGGUGAAAGCAGGAGAAUGGGUCUCAACAACCCUGAACGUUGGGAGUGUUAAUU